UACAGAGGGGGCAAGCGUUGUUCGGAAUUACUGGGCGUAAAGGGCGCGUAGGCGGCCUGUUAAGUCGAACGUGAAAUCCCCGGGCUCAACCCGGGAACUGCGUCCGAUACUGGCAGGCUUGAAUUCGGGAGAGGGAUGCGGAAUUCCAGGUGUAGCGGUGAAAUGCGUAGAUAUCUGGAGGAACACCGGUGGCGAAAGGCGGCAUCCUGGACCGAGAUUGACGCUGAGGCGCGAAAGCCAGGGGAGCAAACGGG
rnacentral:rRNA from 1 species